rnacentral:rRNA from 1 species
UGGUCAAGUUAUUAAGGGUGCAGGGCGGAUGCCUUGGCACUAGGAGCCGAUGAAGGACGUGAUAAGCUGCGAUAAGCUUCGGGGAGUUGCACGUAAACUUUGAUCCGAAGAUUUCCGAAUGAGGAAACUCACUUAGAGUAAUGUCUAAGUAUCAUUAAGUGAAUACAUAGCUUAAUGAGGGGAACUCAGGGAACUGAAACAUCUAAGUACCUGAAGGAAGAGAAAGAAAUUCGAUUCCGUAAGUAGCGGCGAGCGAACGCGGAUUAGCCAAAACCAAUAAAGUUUUCUUUAUUGGGGUUGCGGACAUAUCAUAACGAAGAGGUAUCGUAAUUGAAGAGGUUUGGAAAGACCCACCACAGAAGGUAAUAGUCCUGUAUGUUAAACGAGAAGACUUUAGAUAUGAUCCAGAGUACCACGGGACACGUGAAACCCUGUGGGAAGCAGGAGGGACCACCCUCCAAGGCUAAAUACUACCUAGUGACCGAUAGCGUAUAGUACCGUGAGGGAAAGGUGAAAAGAACCCCGGGAGGGGAG